UACGUAGGGUGCGAGCGUUAAUCGGAAUUACUGGGCGUAAAGCGUGCGCAGGCGGUUUCUGAAGUCCGUUGUGAAAGCCCCGGGCUUAACCUGGGAAUGGCAGUGGGAACUAGGAGACUUGAAUCUGGCAGAGGGGGGUGGAAUGCCACGUGUAGCAGUGAAAUGCGUAGAGAUGUGGCGGAACACCGAUGGCGAAGGCAGCCCCCUGGGUCAAGAUUGACGCUCAGGCACGAAAGCGUGGGGAGCAAACAGG
rnacentral:rRNA from 1 species